rnacentral:rRNA from 1 species
UCCCAGACUCCUACGGGAGGCAGCAGUGGGGGAUAUUGCACAAUGGGGGAAACCCUGAUGCAGCGACGCCGCGUGUAGGAAGACGGUCCUCUGGAUUGUAAACUACUGUCCCCAGGGACGAAGAUGACGGUACCUGGGGAGGAAGCUCCGGCUAACUACGUGCCAGCAGCCGCGGUAAUACGUAGGGAGCGAGCGUUGUCCGGAAUUACUGGGUGUAAAGGGCGUGUAGGCGGGCCUGUAAGCCAGAAGUGAAAUCUGGGGGCUUAACCCCCAAACUGCUUUUGAAACUGCGGGUCUUGAGUGAUGGAGAGGCAGGCGGAAUUCCCAGUGUAGCGGUGAAAUGCGUAGAUAUUGGGAGGAACACCAGUGGCGAAGGCGGCCUGCUGGACAUUAACUGACGCUGAGGCGCGAAAGCGUGGGGAGCAAACAGGAUUAGAUACCCGAGUA